rnacentral:rRNA from 1 species
CGAAAGUUAGAGGUUCGAAGGCGAUCAGAUACCGCCCUAGUUCUAACCAUAAACGAUGCCAGCCAGCGAUCCGGCUGCGUUCCUCAAAUGACGCGCCGGGCAGCUUCCGGGAAACCAAAGCUUUUGGGUUCCGGGGGUAGUAUGGUUGCAAAGCUGAAACUUAAAGGAAUUGACGGAGGGCUACCACCAGGAGUGGAUCUUGCGGUUCAAUUUGACUCAACGCAGCGAACUCUACCAGGCCAGGACACAAGUAGGAUUGACAGAUUAAGAGCUCUUUCUUGAUUUUGUGGGUAGUGGUGCAUGGCCGCUCUUGGUUCGUGAAGUGAUUUGUCUGGUUAAUUCUGAUAACGGACGAGGCUCUAGCUUACUAACUAGACGCUCGGAUCAUUCCUGGUCCGGCGUUCCCUGUCCGACAGGACUGGGUAACCCGUUGAACCUCCUUCGUGCUGGGGAUAGGGGAUUGAAAUUGUCCCCCUUGAACGAGGAACUCCUAGUAAGUGCGAGUCAUCAUCUCGCGUUGAUUAGGUCCCUGGCCCUUGUCCACACCGCCCGUCGCUAUUAUCGAUUGAAUGUCUUAGUGAGGACUUCGGAUUGGCUGUCGAUUUGGCUCUAGGGUCGAGCCGACGUGCCGAAAAGAUGUCCGAACUUGGUCAUUUAGAGGAAAUAAAAGUCGUAACAAG